rnacentral:rRNA from 1 species
AUUGAACGCUGGCGGCAUGCUUUACACAUGCAAGUCGAACGGGGUGAGGGGGCAACCUCUCAUCUAGUGGCGAACGGGUGAGUAAUGCAUCGGAACGUGUCCCGUAGUGGGGGAUAACCCGGCGAAAGCCGGACUAAUACCGCAUAUGCUCUACGGAGGAAAGUGGGGGACCUGUAAGGGCCUCACGCUAUGGGAGCGGCCGAUGUCCGAUUAGCUUGUUGGUGAGGUAAUGGCUCACCAAGGCGACGAUCGGUAGCUGGUCUGAGAGGAUGAUCAGCCACACUGGGACUGAGACACGGCCCAGACUCCUACGGGAGGCAGCAGUGGGGAAUUUUGGACAAUGGGGGCAACCCUGAUCCAGCCAUGCCGCGUGCGGGAAGGAGGCCU